rnacentral:rRNA from 1 species
UACGAAGGGGGCUAGCGUUGCUCGGAAUCACUGGGCGUAAAGCGCACGUAGGCGGCUUUCUAAGUCAGGGGUGAAAUCCUGGAGCUCAACUCCAGAACUGCCUUUGAUACUGGAGAGCUUGAGUCCGGAAGAGGUGAGUGGAACUCCGAGUGUAGAGGUGAAAUUCGUAGAUAUUCGGAAGAACACCAGUGGCGAAGGCGGCUCACUGGUCCGGUACUGACGCUGAUGUGCGAAAGCGUAGGGAGCAAACAGG